AGGAGUUUGAUCCUGGCUCAGAACGAACGCUGGCGGCGUGCCUAACACAUGCAAGUCGUGCGAGAAAGUUCCUUCGGGAGCGAGUAAAGCGGCGCACGGGUGAGUAACACGUAGGUAACCUGCCCCCCAGUCUGGAACAACUAGAGGAAACUCUAGCUAAUGCCGGAUGAGACCACGAUCCCUUCGGGGGUUGCGGCCAAAGAUGGCCUCUACUUGUAAGCUAUCGCUGAGGGAUGGGCCUGCGGGCCAUUAGCUUGUUGGUGAGGCAACGGCUCACCAAGGCUGUGAUGGCUAGCUGGUCUGAGAGGAUGACCAGCCACACUGGGACUGAGACACGGCCCAGACUCCUACGGGAGGCAGCAGUGGGGAAUAUUGCGCAAUGGGCGAAAGCCUGACGCAGCGACGCCGCGUGGGUGAUGAAGGCCUUCGGGUCGUAAAGCCCUGUCAGUAGGGAAGAGAAUGGACGGUACCUACUGAGGAAGCAUCGGCUAACUACGUG
rnacentral:rRNA from 1 species